rnacentral:rRNA from 1 species
AGUUUGAUCCUGGCUCAGAAUCAACGCUGGCGGCGUGCCUCAGACAUGCAAGUCGAACGAUUAAAGCUCUCUUCGGAGAGUGUAUAGAGUGGCGCACGGGUGAGUAACACGUAAGUAAUCUACCUCGGGGUGGGGAAUAACGUUCGGAAACGAACGCUAAUACCGCAUAAUGCAGCGGCUUCUUAUGAAGACAGUUGUUAAAGCAUUUAUGUGCCUGGAGAGGAGCUUGCGGCAGAUUAGCUAGUUGGUAAGGUAAUGGCUUACCAAGGCAACGAUCUGUAGCCGACCUGAGAGGGUGGUCGGUCACACUGACACUGAAUAACGGGUCAGACUCCUACGGGAGGCAGCAGUCGGGAAUUUUGGGCAAUGGGCGAAAGCCUGACCCAGCAACGCCGCGUGAAGGAUGAAGUAUUUCGGUAUGUAAACUUCGUAAAAAUGGGAAGAAUAAAUGACGGUACCAUUUGUAAGGUCCGGCUAACUACGUGCCAGCAGCCGCGGUAAUACGUAGGGACCAAGCGUUGUUCGGAUUUACUGGGCGUAAAGGGCGCGUAGGCGGCGUGACAAGUCACUUGUGAAAUCUCCGGGCUUAACUCGGAACGGUCAAGUGAUACUGUUGUGCUAGAGUAUAGAAGGGGCAAUCGGAAUUCUCGGUGUAGCGGUGAAAUGCGUAGAUAUCGAGAGGAACACCAGAGGCGAAGGCGGAUUGCUAGGCUAAUACUGACGCUGAGGCGCGAAAGCUAGGGUAGCAAACGGGAUUAGAUACCCCGGUAGUCCUAGCCCUAAACGAUGAAUACUUGGUGUCUGGAGUUUAAUUCUCUGGGUGCCGUCGCUAACGUUUUUAGUAUUCCGCCUGGGGAGUACGCACGCAAGUGUGAAACUCAAAGGAAUUGACGGGGACCCGCACAAGCGGUGGAGCAUGUGGUUUAAUUCGACGCAACGCGAAGAACCUUACCUGGACUAGAAUGUGAGGGAAGGUUACUUAAUCGUAACCGUCCGGGCAACCGGACCCGAAACAAGGUGCUGCAUGGCUGUCGUCAGCUCGUG